AAGACAGGGACAGUGAAAUGCUUCAAGAGGCAGAUUUCUCUGAGGUGCCAAGCAGUCCUUCCAGACCAGGUGAAAGUGACAGUUCCUGCCAAAGUCCCAGCAAUGCUUGCUGUAUGGUAGAUGUUGAGAAUACUGGUACUGGAU